AAGGGAGAUCGUAUGUCAGCCAUCUCGCGCCGCCACGAAAACACGACAGUCGUUCGUCAUGCCUUGGAUAUAACAGCAAAUCCUCCACGGCACCCGCUUUAUAUAACGCAAGAAGGCAGCUGCAAGGACACGAGGAUGUGAAAGAGCCAGUGCAGCGUGACUUCACGUAGUGCAGAGGAGCCAAUGCCAAAAAAUCAAAAUACAUUGGCAUGUUAUUUGGACAAGAAAACUAGGACAACCCAGGACGUGCAUUUCUCAGCACCCAGUCAACUGCCAAAAGUGACUCAAACACAGGCCACCAGUGGAACUCGGCUGUACCACUGCAGUGCUGCGGAAAUUGCCUUCACCAGCGGCUUUGCAACAGCUGUUUCGCAGCAUGUCGGAGACAAUGCCUACAAAAUUAUUGGCCCUGAUCAUGAGAGCCCUCAAGGGGCAAACAACAGCUCUGUUGCAGAAGUGAGCCCGAUACCACUUGGAAGUUACCAUGACAGAUGACACGGCAGCAACAGAUACAGACUGCCAUGUCUACUGCAGCUGCAACAGUGUACGAGGCAAGCAGCAGCGCGUCAGCAUCAGCAGCAGUGUCAGAAGGAACCACACCAGGCCUGGUAGAGCAACAUGUGUGCUAUCACUGACUUUUUUUGUAGUGGAUACAACUCAUUUGCUCAACAUACAAAAGCUUUUCACCACGACUGUGAGCCAGUGUUAUUGUGCAGCAACUGCAAGACUAAGUUAGGUGUUAUAACACAGUACAAGCAUCACUUUAAUAUAUGCAAAUGCAAACAUAUUACAGUUGUUGCCUCCCCAGCCAGCCCACAUAGUGACAACAAUGUGGAACACAUGGUGGGACACACCUCUCUCCCAUUACAAGAUAGUAGAGACUGUCAGUGUUGUUGCUAGAUUGACUGGUCUUUGUAGGCAACUAGAAGGACAACACAGGUGUCAUAAGAUUGUUGUUGAUGUUGUUGAAGAGGUAAAAAAGUUUGAUGCAGCUGAAGUGCCAACUGAUAUUGAGCAAAUCAAAAGCAACCACCUGAGAAAGCAACACUAUCGAAAUUUGGGUAUCUAUGUGCCGCCAACUCUGGUAAGAAUGGCAUAGGACAGAAGUGCGAUGAAAAUCACACAGACACUGCUGUUGCAUCACUGGCCACAGUGAGCAGCGACUUGUAGGGCAAGAGAGUCAACUGGAACUAACAUUAUGAUAUAGUGUCAUGCUCCCGUGUGACCACUUUUCAAGUUAUUUUGCAAUAUACAGCUCAACCUCCAGAAACGAGACUGCAACUUGUCUGUAAAAAAGCUUUCACAAAAAAUUAUUCAUAACACUAUUAACAUAGCAGUAUCUUUUUUGUGUCGGUUCGAGGUUCCCGGCUGUCCAUUAAUGCAAAAAUUGAGGAAAAAAAGAACAUGUGUCGUACUUACACCUUUUUAACAAGUACGAGGGGGACAGAACUUUUCUAGUCAUGCAUCUUCAUCAUACUAUCAAGUUUUUAAAUGCCUUUUAUAGUUAUUAUCACCAGUUAUAUCUGAGUGCAUUGUAUGCAUGUAGCAGGUGUAAAAUCGGGUCAGUUGGAUCAGAUGCCUUAUCUGCAAGAGAGCCCUAUAUUCAAGAAAUUUGAAUUAAAAUAGUUACGUUAGAGACGCAGUCUUUCAGCGCUUUAUUGCCUGUGGUUUAAGCAUUGCUCAAUACUUUUGUGGGUGGCAAUUUCAACCGGCACAGCACUGCGCUUUGCCACAGUCACAUUUGUCUUCAAAGCGGUGUUUACCAUUUGUGUUGAUCUGUUUGUGUAUGCAUAGAGCAAGUUUUUAAUUUAUAUUUUUCUGCAUUCUUGUGCUUGCACUAAGCUUGUAUAAAGCAGUUACAAAAUGUGCGUCACUAUAACGAACUGUUCUGUUGAGCUUACACUUCCAAAUAAUCGUGUUCAGAUGGCCGCACUUCUAUGCGGGUGCACUGCUAGCUUUGUGUAUGUUCUCAUGUUUGUAUAAAGCUUAUAUAGGCUAGUUAGAAAAUGUAUGUCACUAAGCAUUGUGAUAUUCUUUAAAGAACUGCUUUGUUGGUUUUACACCUGUGAGUAAUAGUACUCGGGUGGCACUAGUCAUGUGUAGGUACACAGGGACCAUUUGUAUACAUUAUGCUCAUGUAAAGCAGUUACAAAGUGUAUGUCACUAAUUACUGUGAUAUUUGUUGAAUUGCUGUGAUGGUUUUGCACGUGAAUAAUAGUGGUCAGGACACAGUACUUGCGGUGUAUAGUUGAAUUUAUACACUGCCAAGACAUGGGCUGUAUACUUACCAAAAGAAAUGUAUGUCAUUAUAUUGUUGUGAUUAUUACUGUUUGGAUUUUAUUAAACUGUAAUAAAAUUGUUUCUUGUA